rnacentral:rRNA from 1 species
AGAGUUUGAUCCUGGCUCAGGAUGAACGCUAGCUACAGGCUUAACACAUGCAAGUCGAGGGGAAACGACAUCGAAAGCUUGCUUUUGAUGGGCGUCGACCGGCGCACGGGUGAGUAACGCGUAUCCAACCUGCCCACCACUUGGGGAUAACCUUGCGAAAGUAAGACUAAUACCCAAUGACGUCUCUAGAAGACAUCUGAAGGAGAUUAAAGAUUUAUCGGUGAUGGAUGGGGAUGCGUCUGAUUAGCUUGUUGGCGGGGUAACGGCCCACCAAGGCGACGAUCAGUAGGGGGUUCUGAGAGGAAGGUCCCCCCANAUUGGAACUGAGACACGGUCCAAACUCCUACGGGGAGGCA